UGACUCUGGUUUCUCUAUAAUAGCAAGUCUUUCGCCUUUUACUAAAGACUCCUGGAGAGGAACAAACAUGAGUUGAAUAUAUUUUUGUAUAUUGCUGUAUGGCUGAGCCAU